UGCUACAAGGAAUGGACGAGAUACUUUUCAGAGUCCAGAAAGGGACACACUCCGCUGCAUGGCAGAGCAUACUAUCAAAUGAUGGAAUGUCUUGGUCUUGUAAAAAUUCAUUCACCGAUGCGAGGUGAUCCUAGUAGGGUUUUAAAGUGGC